GUGAAACCGCGAAUGGCUCAUUAAAUCAGUUAUGGUUUCUUAGAUCAUACCUACAUUUACUUGGAUAACUGUGGUAAUUCUAGAGCUAAUACAUGCAAACAGAUUCCGACCAGAGAUGGUAGGAAUGCUUUUAUUAGAUCAAAACCAAUCGGUGGCGGAUGGCUCGUCUGUCCGUCCAUCGUUUGUUUUGGUGACUCUGAAUAACUUUGUGCUGAUCGCAUGGUCAUCUAGCACCGGCGACGCAUCUUUCAAAUGUCUGCCUUAUCAACUGUCGAUGGAAUGGCGUGGCCGGCCUAACGGU
rnacentral:misc_RNA from 1 species